UACGUAGGUGGCAAGCGUUGUCCGGAUUUAUUGGGUUUAAAGGGUGCGUAGGCGGCCCUGUAAGUCAGUGGUGAAAUACGGCAGCUCAACUGUCGAGGUGCCAUUGAUACUGCGGGGCUUGAGUGUUGAUGAGGUAGGCGGAAUUGACGGUGUAGCGGUGAAAUGCUUAGAUAUCGUCAAGAACACCGAUAGCGAAGGCAGCUUACCAAGCAAUAACUGACGCUGAGGCACGAAAGUGCGGGGAUCAAACAGG
rnacentral:rRNA from 2 species